GAGAGGUUCGAGAUAACCGCACUCGAAAUGCAGCAUACUGGCAACCGUAUCGUGGGCUCGAAUCCCACCCUCUCCGCCA
rnacentral:tRNA from 1 species